rnacentral:snRNA from 2 species
GUGCUCUCUUUGGCAGCACAUACACUAAAAUUGGAACGAUACAGAGAAGAUUAGCAUGGCCCAUGUACAAGGUUGACACGAAAAUUUGUGAAGCAUUCCAUAUUUUU